rnacentral:rRNA from 1 species
CACGUAGGCGGCCUGGUAAGUCAGAUGUGAAAGCCCGGGGCUUAACCCCGGAAGUGCAUUUGAUACUGCUAGGCUUGAGUAUGGGAGAGGGAAGUGGAAUUCCUGGUGUAGAGGUGAAAUUCGUAGAUAUCAGGAGGAACACCGGUGGCGAAGGCGACUUCCUGGACCAGUACUGACGCUGAGGUGCGAAGGCGUGGGUAGCAAACA